rnacentral:rRNA from 1 species
UACGAAGGGGGCUAGCGUUGCUCGGAAUGACUGGGCGUAAAGGGCGCGUAGGCGGCUCAUACAGUCAGAUGUGAAAUUCCUGGGCUUAACCUGGGGGCUGCAUUUGAUACGUGUGGGCUUGAGUGGGGAAGAGGGUCGUGGAAUUCCCAGUGUAGAGGUGAAAUUCGUAGAUAUUGGGAAGAACACCGGUGGCGAAGGCGGCGACCUGGUCCUUGACUGACGCUGAGGCACGAAAGCGUGGGGAGCAAACAGG